rnacentral:tmRNA from 1 species
GGGGUCGAUUUUGGUUUCGACUGCGUACAUUACGCCAGGGGAAGCGUGCCGGUGCAGGCUAGAGACCACCGUAAGCGUCGUAGCAAUCUGAUAAGCGCCGAGAAUUCUCAGCGUGACUACGCCCUCGCUGCCUAAUUAAGAAUAGCCAGCGACCUGCGUGUCUGUCGGACUAAAAUGGUCCCUGUUUUAGACCCCGGCAUCGAUGAAGGGACUUGCUAUCCAUAUUGGCCUCAAGGUGUGGAUGGGACUUUUACUUGUGGCUGAGGCUCAUCAUCCGGGAAUGUUCGUCUAAGCCGGAGAGUCAGAGAAAAGAUCCUUCGCGCGAACUGCGCACGGAGAAGCCCUGGCAAGAUGACGUAGGACCCGGGUUCAAUUCCCGGCGGCUCCACAA